CACUCUGUUAUUUAUGGCUGAUUAAUUCUGCGCUCACUUUUUCUUUGUUUUAUAGAUUGAUGAAACGUGCAGCGUGAGAUAAUUAACCAUAGAUCUUUAAGGCAUUCGAAUAUAUUAGGUUCAAAGAGUCUAUUUGCUUGUGAAACUACAACGGUUCCACCUAUUUGCUUUUUUGGUCAGAGUUCUCACCACCAUGUUAUGGCAAUUGGGUGAGGAUAGCUCCAAAUGCUUCCGAAUUUUUCAGUUUUUUCCGGAUCUAUCAAACAAUGAAAGCACGUGUGUUUGGACAUAGUAAUUUUAACUAAGCCUUGAUUUCGAGCUCAAGCACAACCUGCCAAACUGACUGAACACUGUGUGAAACAGACGCUGUGGCUUCUGAUCAAAUACUCCAUAUAAUUAGUUGUAUCAUAGUAUAUGCCAAGUAAGAACCGUUGUGAGAGAAGUUUUGUGUACUUCUUAAGCAUUAGCUACAGGUAGUUUAAACAUUUUAGUAUGUAAUGAUGUUCAAUGUUGAGAUCUUGUUGAUCUGAAACUUGUUGCCUUAGCAAAGUUGUUAUCUACGUACUUGGCCUCUUUAUUCUUAUAUUGUUUUCGUUAUCAAUUCAGGGAUCAAGAAAUGUUGAAAAACUAAUUUUUUUAAAUUUUUAUUUGCAGAUUUAUAAGAGAUGGUGACGAGAAAUAUUUUGGCAGGUCAUUGGCGAUGUAUUGAAUCAAGUUUAAGAAUUUAGACAUAUUUUGAAAACUUUACAUUUGAUAGCAUGUGGAAAUGGCAAAAACUCUAUUAUUGUGUUUUGUUUUUUGGUUGUGUUGGGUGAUUGUAUUAGAUGACAAUGCAAUGAUACUCUAACAUGGUUCUUGUUUUCUGGUUGUGUUGGGUGUUGUCCCAAAUUUGUAGAUGAUUAGUUCUUUUCAACUUCUUUCUGUAAAUUUUCUUGCGUGAGCAUAUAAUCUCUGUUGUGAGAGACAUAAUUUGAUACAAAAUGUAGGAUUUCUGUUUGUUGA